rnacentral:rRNA from 1 species
AGCGAACGCUGGCGGCAGGCCUAACACAUGCAAGUCGAACGAAGUCUUCGGACUUAGUGGCGGACGGGUGAGUAACACGUGGGAACGUACCUUUUGGUUCGGAACAACUCAGGGAAACUUGAGCUAAUACCGGAUGAGCCCUUAGGGGGAAAGAUUUAUCGCCGAAAGAGCGGCCCGCGUUAGAUUAGCUAGUUGGUGAGGUAAAGGCUCACCAAGGCUACGAUCUAUAGCUGGUCUGAGAGGAUGAUCAGCCACACUGGGACUGAGACACGGACCAGAAUGCCACGGGAGGCAGCAGUGGGGAAUCCUGCGCAAUGGGCGAAAGCCUGACGCAGCCAUGCCGCGUGAAUGAUGAAGGUCUUAGGAUUGUAAAAUUCUUUUACCAGGGACGAUAAUGACGGUACCUGGAGAAAAAGCCCCGGCUAACUUCGUGCCAGCAGCCGCAGUAAAAC